rnacentral:tRNA from 1 species
CAGCUCAUAGCUUAAUAAAAGCCUCUCCCCUACACCGAGAAGAUGUCCGUGAAACCCAGACCGAGCUGA